UACGUAGGGGCCUAGCGUUGUCCGGAUUUACUGGGCGUAAAGGGCGCGUAGGCGGUCAGCACAAGUCAGUUGUGAAAUCUCCGGGCUUAACUCGGAAAGGUCAACUGAUACUGUGCGACUAGAGUGCGGAAGGGGCAACUGGAAUUCUCGGUGUAGCGGUGAAAUGCGUAGAUAUCGAGAGGAACACCUGCGGCGAAGGCGGGUUGCUGGGCCGACACUGACGCUGAUGCGCGAAAGCCAGGGGAGCGAGCGGG
rnacentral:rRNA from 1 species